UAAUGCAUCGGAACGUGCCCAGAAGUGGGGGAUAGCCCGGCGAAAGCCGGAUUAAUACCGCAUGAGACCUGAGGGUGAAAGCGGGGAUCGCAAGACCUCGCGCUUUUGGAGCGGCCGAUGUCAGAUUAGCUAGUUGGUGGGGUAAAGGCCUACCAAGGCGACGAUCUGUAGCUGGUCUGAGAGGACGACCAGCCACACUGGGACUGAGACACGGCCCAGACUCCUACGGGAGGCAGCAGUGGGGAAUUUUGGACAAUGGGCGCAAGCCUGAUCCAGCCAUGCCGCGUGCGGGAAGAAGGCCUUCGGGUUGUAAACCGCUUUUGUCAGGGAAGAAACGCUCUGGGCUAAUACCCUGGGGUAAUGACGGUACCUGAAGAAUAAGCACCGGCUAACUACGUGCCAGCCGCCGCGGUAAUAC
rnacentral:rRNA from 1 species